AGGAUGAACGCUAGCGGCAGGCUUAAUACAUGCAAGUCGUGGGGCAGCAUGGUGUAGCAAUACACUGAUGGCGACCGGCAAACGGGUGCGGAACACGUACGCAACCUUCCUUUAACUGGAGAAUAGCCCGGGGAAACCCGGAUUAAUACUCCGUAACAUUAUGAAGUGGCAUCACUUUAUAAUUAUAGCUCCGGCGGUUGAAGAUGGGCGUGCGUCUGAUUAGGUAGUUGGCGGGGUAACGGCCCACCAAGCCUACGAUCAGUAACUGGUGUGAGAGCACGACCAGUCACACGGGCACUGAGACACGGGCCCGACUCCUACGGGAGGCAGCAGUAAGGAAUAUUGGACAAUGGGCGAGAGCCUGAUCCAGCCAUGCCGCGUGCAGGAAGAAGGCCUUCUGGGUUGUAAACUGCUUUGCCAGGGGAUAAAGACCCGUGCGCGGGGAAUUGAAGGUACCUGGUGAAUAAGCCACGGCUAACUACGUGCCAGCAGCCG
rnacentral:rRNA from 1 species